GCGGUCGUCGCCGCGAUCCGGGAGGCGGCCGCCCUGGCGGGGCGGCUGACGUUCGGGCGGACGCCGGUGCGGUUCCCGUUCACGACGGCGGUG
rnacentral:tRNA from 1 species